UACGUAGGGUGCGAGCGUUGUCCGGAAUUAUUGGGCGUAAAGAGCUCGUAGGCGGUUUGUCGCGUCUGCUGUGAAAACCUAAGGCUCAACCUUGGGCUUGCAGUGGGUACGGGCAGACUAGAGUGCGGUAGGGGUGACUGGAAUUCCUGGUGUAGCGGUGGAAUGCGCAGAUAUCAGGAGGAACACCGAUGGCGAAGGCAGGUCACUGGGCCGCAACUGACGCUGAGGAGCGAAAGCAUGGGGGAGCGAACAGG
rnacentral:rRNA from 1 species